rnacentral:rRNA from 1 species
GAUGAACGCUGGCGGCGUGCUUAACACAUGCAAGUCGAACGGAAAGGCUCCUGCUUGCAGGGGUACUCGAGUGGCGAACGGGUGAGUAACACGUGGGUGAUCUGCCCUGCACUUCGGGAUAAGCCUGGGAAACUGGGUCUAAUACCGGAUAGGACCACAUUUUGGAUGGUGUGGUGGAAAGUUUUUCGGUGUGGGAUGAGCUCGCGGCCUAUCAGCUUGUUGGUGGGGUAAUGGCCUACCAAGGCGUCGACGGGUAGCCGGCCUGAGAGGGUGUACGGCCACAUUGGGACUGAGAUACGGCCCAGACUCCUACGGGAGGCAACAGUGGGGAAUAUUGCACAAUGGGCGCAAGCCGGAUGCAGCGACGCCGCGUGGGGGAUGACGGCCUUCGGGUUGUAAACUCCUUUCGCUAGGGACGAAGCGCAAGUGACGGUACCUGGAGAAGAAGCACCGGCUAACUACGU